rnacentral:rRNA from 1 species
UACGUAGGCAGCAAGCGUUGUUCGGAAUUACUGGGCGUAAAGGGUGCGUAGGCGGCUUUUUAAGUUUGGUGUGAAAUCCCUCGGCUUAACCGAGGAACUGCCAUCCAGACUGCUUUGCUUGAGGCCGGGAGAGGUGAGUGGAAUUCCCAGUGUAGCGGUGAAAUGCGUAGAUAUUGGGAGGAACACCAGUGGCGAAGGCGGCUCACUGGACCGGUUCUGACGCUGAUGCGCGAAAGCGUGGGGAGCAAACGGG